CGUGCAGGCCAGGUCAUCGCUCCGUUGGUGCCGAUGUCGGGGAUUCGCCCCGACUACGUCGGCAUCCGCGGUGAGGAAAGUCCGAACACCACAGGGCCCCGUGCUUCCUAACCGGAAGGCUGCAUCGCCUCCGAUCGUUGUCGAGGCGGUGCGGAAGGCACGUGCAACAGAGAGCAGACCCGCCCCGAUCUCGGGACCUUGUCCCGACAACGGUCGGGGAAAGGGGUGAAAGGGUGUGGUAAGAGCGCACCGGCGGCUCCGGUGACGGAGCCGGCCAGGCAAACCCUACGGGGUGAAAGGCCAAGUCGCACCGUGUGCUCCUCGCUGGCUUGCCAGCGUUCAGCAGCACGAAGGUCGCCCGCCGAUGAUCCGGACGUCCAUCCGUGACCCCGGAUAACGGUGCAGGUAGGCCGCUUGAGGCGGUUGGCGACAACCGUCCCAGAUAGAUGAUGACCUCCCCGGCGCCGACACGGCGAUGCCGGCCCGGGUAGACCAAAUUCGGCUUAUAGGCCCGUACGUUUC
rnacentral:RNase_P_RNA from 1 species